AACUUUUUUUUCUUUUUUCAGGUUCUUAAUAAAGGUGCUAAGAAAGAAUGUAACACAGGAAAAUAAUUAAAUAUUUUCACUGUGGUAAGUGUUUUAUGAUUUUACAUUUUAAAAAUUCUUUAAUUUUUAUUAUUUUUUAGUUCUGCUUCCUUAAGUUAUAAAAGGGAUAUUGUUUUAGGAGCAUUUGACUUCAUAGAACCUGUGGUUGGUAAGGUGGAUGCCAAUAAUGUGGGCUGUUUGAAUAAUGACGUUUGUCUUUCCCUCUCUUUGACUCUAAUAUUUUAAUUUCUAUUAUCUUGUCAUUAUAAAGUAUGGUUCUGAGAAGGAGAUCCUGUAUUACAUCUACUUGCAACAUUCAAUGAAUUCUUUCCUCUUAAAUAGGAAGUUGAAAAGAUUUGAAGUAAUUUUGGUGAUAUAGAGGCAUUUCUAAAAAGUUUGUUGUGAUUUUUUAUUUUACUAAUUAGAAAAAAUUUUACCCAUAUAAAACAACAUAAUGACAAAAGUCAGCCCUCAACUCCUGCACAAAGAAAUAGCCACCAUUAACUCACUUUUGGAAACUUAUUGAUGGAUAUGAAAGUAUACAGAAGACUUUAAAUAAACAGCAGUUUUUCUCUAUAUGAAGCUAUGUGGUCAUUUUUAAUGUGUUUUAUGUAUCUCUAUUUGUGAGUUGAAACUGAUGUGCAUAAUCAUGGGUGAUCAUUUUACUGGCUGCCUAGUUUGUUUUUUUAAUUAUUUUUUUAGUUGUCAAUAGAUCUUUAUUUAUAUAUGCAGUGCUGAGAAUCAAACCCUGUUCUUUACAGGUGCCAGGCAAGUGCUCUACCACUGAGCUACAACCCCAGCCCUUGCUGCCUAGUUUUCCAUCAUUUAGAGGCAUCGUACUUUAUCUAGCUACUCCUUUGAUAACUAUUUAGAUUGUUACUUGUUUUUCUUUCUUGUGAAUAAUGGCAUGUUGAUAAUAGUAUACUUAUUCAUUUAUCUUCUUAGAGGUAUAACUGCCAGGUCAAACAUUAUAUAUAUUUUAAAUAUUAAUAAAUAUGGCUGAGCCGUUGUCUGUAAAAACUAUCCCCUUCAAUGUCCAUGAGAAUCCUAUUUUUAAAACCCUUGCUCACACCAAGUUUUCUUAAUCUUUUUAAUCUUUGCUAAUCCAAUAUGGGAAAAAAAGUACAUUUUUUGAGAUAACAUGUUUUUUACUGGUACUGGGGAUUGAACCCAGGGGCACUUCCCCAGUAAAUUAGAUCCCCAGGACCUUUUAUUUUUUAUUUUUUUUUUUAUUUUGAGACAGGGCCUCGCUAAGUUGCUGAGGCUGUCCUUGAACAGUGAUCCUCAACAGUGAUCCUCUUGCCUCAGUCUCCUGAAUUGCUGGGAUUACAGGUGUGUUCCACUGUACUCAACUAUUGAAGGAAACCUUGUGUUAUUCAAAGAUUUCUUUCAUUCAAUAUUCUUAUUAACAUAAAUAAUUCUCUUCUUAAGGACAUACUUGUGAUUCUUAUAUGUCAGAUAUUCUUAGGCUUAAAUGUGAUGAAAAUAUUUAAAUAUAUUGAGUUGUUUUUAGGUCUUUUGCCUUGAUUUUAACUCAUUAUCAAUAUUUGAAAACUUGAGGGUUGGGGAUGUGGCUCAAGUGGUAGCGUGCUAGCCUGGCAUGUAUGAGACACUAGAUUCAAUCCUCAGCACCACAUAAAAAUAAAAUAAAGAUAUUGUGUCCACCUAAAAAGUAAAUAUUAAAAAAAUAUAUUUGAAAUCUUGAUCAACUAGCUAUAAUUGUUUUGAAUACAGAAUGUUUUCCUCUGCAAAGAGCAGUACUUUUGUGUUUUAUUCACCUGAAGGGAAGCCUAAAAUAACUUUCAAAAUAAUUUUUUUAACAAUUUUCAAACAUGGAUACCAAUGGCUGAAUAGCAUAUAGAAUAUUAUUUCCAUAAUUGGUUGAUAAUAUAGUGUUUUUGAGUUAUGUAAACUAUGUGAUUGUGUGUUCAUGUGUAAACCUGUGUGUAUUUCUUCUGUCCAAAAGAUUUUAUCACUUCCUGAUGUAAAUAUGAUUUUUAAUUUUAUGUUUGCUUUAGGUUUUAUUUCAAUCAAAUAAGAGUUACAUAUAAGGAUGGCCUCACAUGAAGCAGAUUCACAACUUUGUCAUUUACCUACUGUUUAUUCUUUGGCUUAAUAAGAAAACAUUAAACUGUCUUCUCUAUAUAAAGUACAUCUAGAUUGCUUUUCCUGAGGGGGCUUUUGUUUUCAUUUCAAUUAACAUUGUUUACUGAAUACCCCAAGGUUAGGACCAUAUGGUCCAACUGGUGAUUUAUUCACUAGUUUUUAUUCAGCACUGAAUACCUACCUACCUGGUAGGCAUCCACAGGUGCUAGGCAAGUGCUCUACCACCCAAAUCAUUAUUUACUUAUUUGUUUAAUUUUUUGGUACUGGGGAUUGAAUCUAGGGGAACUUUACCACUGAAAUACAUCCCCAGCCCUUUUUUAUUUUAUUUUUAUUUUGAUACAGGGUCUUGCUAAGUUGCUUAGGGCCUCACUAAGUUCCUAAGGCUGGCCAUGAACUUAGGAUCCUCCUGCCUCAGCCUCAAUCUCCCAAUGGUUGAUGUGUAUUGUCAUUAUUAGGUUAAAGAUGUGAAAGAGAAUAGCCAUACAUUUUAAUUUAGAGAAGAGUAACAUGAUUUCAUUUAAAUUUAGAUGUGCAUAACUGUAUGGCACUUGCUACUAUUUCAUUUGAUGGAACUUUGUUUCAAAUUUUGAUUUGGACUAUAUUCUACUUACUUUUUAGAAUCACAUAAGCCCUGUAGUUUAAAUCUUUUUUUUUUUUUUCCAUUAUGGGCAGAGUAAGUAUUUAAACUAGGUAUGCUGCUAGAUCUUGUUUAAAAUCUGUUAAUGUUUCCCAGUAUAGACAUGGCAAUGUUUUUCACAAUAUGAUGUUUAAAAAUAAGGAUAAAGGGGCUAGGGAUGUGGCUCAAGUGGUAGCGCACUCACCUGGCAUGUGUGCGGCCCCGGUUCGAUCCUCAGCACCAUUCUCUUUCUUUCUCUCUCUCUCUCUCUCUCUCUCUCUCUCUCUCUCUCUCUCUCUCUCUCUCUCUCAGAAAAAAAAAGAAAAGAAGGAUAAAGUAAAUGCUCCCCAAAAUAAAGUAAAUAUAAUUGUAUGGUUCACAUUUUUAAAAAUAAAAUCAGAGAAAUGAAUUGCCAGACUUUGAGUAGAAUGAAUAGAUUUUUGUCUGGGACAUGUCUGUGAAGCUUUUCUGACUCCUAAACCAGUUUUUCAUAGCCAAAGUAAACAGAGAGAUGGAACAAUUAAUGAUCUAAUAGAUUUAAGCAGUGUUUUAGUCUGGAUUUUAUAUAGUUCAUUUCUGUUGGAAUACAGGAUUCUAAAGAAUAAAUGUAACUAGUUUUAAUUAGUAUUUUUGCAGAAGACAUUUGCAUGUGAAAAUUUUAAAAUCAAAUAAUCCUCUAGCAAUUUUUAUUUGCACUUUAAUUUGCCUAGCAGUUGUUUCUUUUUAAUAUUUAUUUUUUAGUUGUAGUUGGACACAAUACCUUUAUUUUAUUGAUUUAUAUGUGGUGCUGAGUAUUGAACCCAGGGCCCUGCAUGUGCCAGGCAAGCACUCUACUACUGAGCCACAACCACAGCCCCCAGCAAUUGUUUCUUAAUACAUAGUCCAAAAUUAAAUCAAGGCAGACUUGAAAUUAUUGAGUCUUCAUUAUUGGGCCAAAUUAAUGAGGUUUUCCUGAACUUUUCCUUCUGGGAUCUUAUUAUGGCUAGUGAUGUAAUCUUAUUUGUUUUCUAAAAUAUUGAAGUUCGAUAUUUUUGAAUCUCUUUUCUGUGGCAGUACAGGAAUUUGUUUAUACAGUGCCUUUUAUUUUACUGAUGAGUUCAUUUCUUUAAUUGUGUGCCCUAAAGCCUACUAAAAAUAUUCCUGGAUAGUGAGGGAUUAAAUAGAAAUUGUAAUUAAAAUGAAGGAUUUAUCCUUUAUUUCUCCUGUUAGCUGCAUUUGUUAAAAUUUUUAUACAACAUUUAAAUAAAUAUUAAGACUUUAUUACAGGGCUGGGAUUAUGGCUCAGUGGUAGAGUGCCUGCCUGGCAUGUGUGAGGCACUGGGUUUGAUCUCGGCACAACAAUAGAUAAAUAAAUAAGUAAACAAACAAAUAAAUAAAUAAGUAAAUCUAUUAUGUCCAUCUACAACUACUAAAAAAAAGGACUUUAUUAUAUAUUAUAUUGGUUGGAUUUUGUGCAUUUGAAACAGUUUCUUCCUAUAUUAGGCAUAAAGCUUAGUUUAGACUGGUAUAGUAAGUGAUCAUUUGAUUGGAAAGUUGGGUAGACUGAGAAGUCCAGUCUUCCUGUGCAGAAUUUGAGACUUUGUACUCUUUGAGAUGAAACAGCUUUGCAAUCAGGGUAGUAGUACUGAGCUGCCAGUGGGAGGAGAGAUGCCAGAUGCUGGUAUACAGUGUAGAUGAGAGCCCCUCAGGGUUUCCUUCUAUAGAUUCUGCAACUGACCAGGUCUUCCCAAGGGGCACUGUUAACUCAAAGUCUUAUGAGUAGAGUUUUAGAAAGGGGAGGAAAUAAGAGUAGCUUUGGGGCACAAGGUCCAUAAUGAGCUCAGAGCUUAGUGAAACUCCCAAAGUUCUGAAUGUCCCAUCAUCCUGAGAAAUUUCCUCCCUCCUAACCCUGAAAGUUUUGUCCAGUGUGUGACAUAAUGCAAAUUUGUGUGGAGCUAGCAGAGCAAGUCUAUUACUACAGAGUCUAGAUGCUGUCUUUAAAUGGACAUCCAGCAUGGGAAUAUGGCUGAAAACCACUACCCCCUCCCCACAUCUUAUCUAUAGCAGUGCAAUUGGAAUUUCACACAAGCUUUUCCUUCUUUGGUUUGUUUAGAGAGGACACCUAGGUGCAGGUUGUGUUUGUGUAUUUUAAACCCCCUGUGAUUUGUUUUAGAUAUAUUUCAGUCUGUUAAAAUAUAACAGUUUUUUUUUUUUUUUUUUUUUUUUAGUCUGAACAUUCUAGCAGCCAACAUUAACUCAAACAUUAAUUGCUGUCAAUGGGAAAGGAUAUCUUUCCACAUCUUUUCUUGGUGCUUACACCAUCCCACUUCUUUUUUCUUUUACCUUAAUAACAGAUUACUGACACUUGGGAAUUAUAAACAUAUUGCAGCAAUCUUUAUGGAAAGAUUACCAAUUAUUGCACUGCAAAAUAAACAUUUCUUUCUAAUAGAGUGUUUCUCUCCAUGUCUUUCUUUCUCUCAGUUUAGUGCUUUUAAAUACCUUUUAGGUGAAUGAAUGCUUUGUGUCAUGCUGUGAUUUAAUAUUUUUAAGAGACUUUAUUGAUAGCUUUUUAAAAAACCUAUGUGGGAGGAGGAUGAAGGAGAAAGAUUAUUCAUUCAAUGUGAAAUCUUCAUAGAUCUUUAGAUGUCCACAAGGUAGAAGGAUGGCUAAUGUUAAUUACCCCUACUCUGGUAUAGUUCUGAAAUUAGUAUUUGCUGUGAAGAGUUGUGAACAGUGAGAAUAUUUGUGGUGGGCUGUGGAUUGAGCAUUGCAGUGUGCUCUUUGUGCUGAUUAGAUCCAGAAGUUUUGUGGAACCCUGGAAUACACCAUCUAUUUCCAUUUCCACUGCCCAAAUCAGGAGAAAUAAAAGCUUGCACAUACACAUACUGGCUAAGUGGCUACACACAGAGUUCAAUUUGAAUGUCUUCACAAAGCCAAUCCAGCAAAGCUACCAGAAAUUAGGUGUUGAAGAUGAAAUAGCAGUUUUUGUUUUGUUUUGUUUUGUUUUUUAAUUAAAAGUAGCAUUUUUAAAGGAGCAAUAGUCUCCUUCUCUUAUCUUUACUGUAGAACAGCAUGGAAAAUUUAGGCUCUGCUGCAGUGUGUUAGGCACCUUUGUGACUUCCUGCUUUCUAGCUACUGGGCUUAGACAUCAUGAGUUGGUAUUGGCUCAUAUUGAGGAAAAAAUAAGGAAAUCACAUAAGGAGACAUAUAUAUCAAAGUAUAAUCUACCUGAUCAAUAGAUGUCAAUAUUUUUUCAAGGAGUACUCUUGAACCUGAAUGUAAAAUCUUAUAGAAGACAAAUCAUGAAUGUAUUUUGGUGUCCUGUAAAUGGUAUUGAGUAAAGAGUACAUUUAAGUGAGACUCAGAGCUGAAGCUUAGCUGUAAAGACCAGAUUCUGUGUAUUUAUUUAGAUAGAAAAGAUCUACAAAGGCCUGAAUUUUUUUGAAUGUCUGGGUUGGGCAUGUUUGCUCAUUCUCCCUGUCCACAUCUCUUAAUCUAUGAUAGAGCCAUUAGAGAGCAAGAUGACAUAGCCCGUCUCCUCACUGAUUCCUGAAGUUCAAGUGCAUCGGAUGCUGCUAAAAAAUGGCAGAAGCGCUGAUGUGUGAACUUGAUUAGGGAAGCUUCUGAAGUAGAUUGAUAUUUAUAGAAUUUGUAAAUAGGCAGGAUAACAGUGAAGAACAGUUUCUGUAUUUAUCUAGCUGAAUCUCAGCUUUAAAUUGCAUUGUCUGUCUCAUUAUUUAACCCUCAUUAUCCAAAUUGUUAUGCUUUUACCUUGUAAACCAAAAGGUAUCCCAUUCAUCAUAAAUAAUAAGAAGCUUUGUCACUGUUCUGACUAAAAGAUCUGACAAGAACAAUUUUAGAAGAGGAAUAGUUUAUUUAGGGGCUCAUUGUUUCAGAUGUCUCAGUCCACAGGUAGCUGGCUCCAUUCCUUGGGGUACAAAGUAAGGCUGAACAUCCUGAUGGAAGAGUGUGGAGGAGGGAAGCAGAGAUAGACUUGCUAAUUUAAUAAUUAACUUAAUAAUUUUUAUAUUAUCACAUGAUAAUCAGAAAGCAGAGAGAGAUUUCACUCACCAGAUGCAAAAUAUAUACCCAAAAGUCACACCCCAAAUAACCCAGCUCCUCCAUCCACACCCUACCCACCUUCAGUUGCCUCUCAGUUAAUUCCCAUCAGGAGAUUAAUUCACCUAUUGGGUUUAGGCUUUCAUAACCCAGUCAUUUCUCCUGUAAACUUUCUUGCAUUGUCUGGCGUAUGUGCUUUUGGGAAACACCUCACAUCCAAACUAUAACAUCUCCUUUGUUCUAAGAACUUGGGGCCUUAAAAUGCCAUCAGUGCCCUUAUGGGUAGAAGGGGUGGAUGGAAGGAAAGAGGCAAUCUGGGUUUUGUUUUUUGUGUGUUUGUUUGUUUUGUUGUUGUCGUUGUUGUUGUCGUUGUUGUUGUUUUGUUUUUAAAGUGAACUUACACCCAGUGAUUGAAAAUUUAUGAUGUAAGCCAGUAAGCACUCAUAAAGUAAGUGGCCUAAUUAAGAAUGAAAAAUUGAACCUGAUUUUACAAGUUUUUUGCCUAAAAACUUGGACGCAUGAAAUAUUGUGAGAAAUCAUUUUGAAUUUUGUUUGUUUAAAUUAUAGUAACUCUCUUGAUAUUCCUUAAAAUUACACAGGAUGAAAUCAUUUUUCAUAGUAUCCAUAAAUAUUGUAAGUCACUGUUUCUUUAGUCUGAGGCUUAGUAGACUGGGUGUCUACUAAGAAUGCAGUUCCACAGCUCAGCAGGUCCCAGGAUCUGAAGAAAAUUGUCUCCUUCAUCAGCCCAUCAGGACACAAAGGAGUAAAUCCAGAUUUGGUGGUGGUGAGGUGACAGUAUAAGACUAACCUGGGGCCUUCUGCAGGAAAACUUUCCCUGAAGCAAAUCUGAGGAUAGUAGCCAGGGAGACAGGCAUUAUUGACCUUUGGCCUUGUUUUUUAAGCAUAAUUUGAUUUUUUUUUUUUUUCUCAGAGAACUUUAGGGAAAUUCUCCUUUGUCUUUAGUUUAAUGUAGAAAUGGCCCCUGAAAAACCAACACAUUAGGAAAAUUUUUUUCUCAGCCUUGAGUAUAUUCACAUGUCACCAGGCUCUGAAAUGAGUUAUCACUGUGCUUUAUUAUUUUGCCUCAUAGCUAUUGCCUUUCUGAUCCUGAACUUGAGCACUUCAUGACCCAUCUUUUUAGCAGCCUUUUACACUGUGCUAGUGUUUUUUAAAUUUAUGGUUGAGUAAGUCAAGAUUUGGAUGGAAGGAAGAUGAAAUUGAAAUAUAUCUGUCACCAAUGUGUGUGUAUGUGCAUGUGCAUGUGAUAAAAAGCAUAUUGAUUCAACAUCCUCCUCAUUAUGUUAUAGACAAAGCAAAAAUAAGAAUGUAUAGUGAAAGGGCAUAUAUUGCCAGCAACAUGUUAGUAAGUAUUUAAAAUUCAGAGUAUCUUCUCUUUUUUAUUAUGCAGAAUAAAUGAUUAAAGCUGAAUAUUGGUGAACCACUCACUGCCUGUGCUCUUUGACUUGUUGGUGAUCCACUUUCUACAACAUCACAUCCACUUUUUUUUGUUAUAAAUAACUUUUCUAUGGGUUAUUUUCACUCUGCAACAAUCUCUUUAACCAAGGGAAGGAGAAUUCCUUUGGAAAAUACUCAAAUCUUUGGUACACAAUGAUUGCACAAUAAACACAGUUUCUGGGACAUCUUAAGGAAGGUUAAUUCUCUAGAAAAAUCAAAUUGGUUUGCAUUUGUUGGCAAAUUUGUUUCUGCAUCUCUUUGACCAACUCUAAACCUCCAGUUCCUUGACUUUCUCCUAAACUAGUCUUAACAUCUUCCUGAUUUCCUCAUUAAUUCAGUCAAGUAGAAUUUUUGACUUCUGGUUUUUUCUUUUUAAUGAGACUUUUAACUUUUUGAAAAUUAUACUUGCAAGAGUAUUGCCAACAUGAGCUUAUAUAACUCCCAUAUAAUGGUAAGACCCACUUCCAACCUCAUGCAUCUUUAAGUUAAACUUGGCCAAGUAAAAGAGAAUAACACACAUACAUACAUACAUGCUGUGUAAGAUAUAUAUAUAUAUAUAUAAUUUCUUAAAUGUAAAGAGAAGUAUAAAUUGGUUCUAUGAUGUUAAUAUAUGAAAAAUUACAAGUUAAUAUUAAUUUUAAGCUGGGGAUGUGGCUCAAGCGGUAGCGCACUCGCCUGGCAUGCGUGUGGCCCAGGUUCAAUCCUCAGCACCACAUACAAACAAAGAUGUUGUGUCCGCUGAAAACUAAAAAAAAAAUAUUAAAAAAAAAUUCUCUCUCUCUCCCUCUCUGUCUCUCUCUCUCUCUCUCCACUCUCUUAAAAAAAUAAUUUUAAGAACUACAGACAAUUUUAAGAGGCUGGCCUGUUGCUCAAUGGACUCAUUCUGUUUGCAAAAGCCCAGUGUUUGAUCUGAGUUCUUCCCUUGUGAAGCCAUGGAUAAUCUAUGGGUAUUAAAGAUUCGUGGAUGAGAAAAGAAGAAUUUUAAAUAUUCUCAGGGAUCUACCUGUGUGACCAAGAUAUCUCUAUGUGAGAAAAACAUGACUCUCUGAGGGCUGGAAGGUAAACAAACUUUGUGAUUUCAAAGGGGUUUCCUGAGAUUAGUGAAAAUAGGAAAUAAACCCACAUCUAAUGAAAUGGUGGCAUAGCACAUUUGAAAGGAACCCUCUCCUAUGAUUUUCAGCUCUGGAAUGUGGUGUCAAUUAGAUACUGCCUUUGCCUGAGUGAGAGAUUUGCAUUCCCAUGCAACUUUAUUUCUGGCAAGGGUGACACCUGGCAGCUUAGGAAAGAAGACAAUUUAGUAAAGAAGCAUGACUGGGCAGGUCUGUCCAGCAUCAGCCAUUCAUUGCAUAAGGUGAAGAACUUUCUGGGUUUGAUGCUGUCACAGUCUCUGCCAUUCAGGUGUGCACAGUCUUGUCAUAAAGAGACAUCAAAGCUAGAACAUGAGCAAGCAGAAUGAAAAUGAUGUAGGAGAGAUGUAAGCGCUCUGGAGGUCAGAGGAGGCGGGCAUAUCCACAGAGGGACCAGAAGGGGCCUUGGAACAGUGGUGGAAGUCCAGAGAUGUCUGAAAGACCAACUAGGGUUUCAACAGACAGAUGUGAGUGGGGGCUCUUUAGUUGAGUCCACCAGCUCAGCAAAGAUGUGUGGAAAUAGAACAAUGGUGUUUAAAGACUUGUGAACAGUGAGGCAGAAGCAAAAUAGUGGGCCCACCUUUUAUCAGUCUCCCAAGGAAUAGGGUAAGAGGCUUGUUCUCAAUUCAGUAGAAAAGCAGAAGGAAAAGAUGUGACCAAGAAGUCCAUUUGAGUUUGAAAUUGAAAGGAACUACUAUUAAUUGAAUACUUACAGUGUGCCAGGGACUUGAUAGUUGUUAUCAUAACAUUACAGCCAGGAGACUGAGAAGUCUCUGGAGAGAUUGAGAAAUGAAAAUCACAGUGGAAACAACUGCAAAUUCAAAUCACAAAGCUCACCUUCUUUCUCCCACUCCUUAUUGGCUAGCAGGGAGGAAUGGUGGGGAGAUCACUACAGAAGCCAUUGUGCCAAUUCAAACAAUAGGUAAUGAGGGGUAGAAAGAGGAAGAUGGCUUUGGAAAUGGAAAGAAGGACAUAAAGAAGCAUCCAAGAAGGCCAGUCACUGUGGCAAAGGAAAUAGAUGCCUAGAAAGAGUCUAAUUAAUGCCCAGUUUUGAAGCCUGGACUCAGGAAAUGUGUUUAAAAGGAAAAAAAAAAAAAUCUGGAGAAGGACCUGGUUUAGAGAACAAAAAAAAUAAGCUCAGUUUGAUAGUUACUAUGAGAUGGAUCAGGUUCCAUUUAAGAUGUAGGAGACAUCUGCACAGAAGUGAGAGGUGAAGACUUUGAAUAAAUGGCUAAGGUGAAGGAACACAGAAGGACCAGCAGACAGCUUUAGACAAUGCCCACCUUUAAGUGGAGGAUAGAGAUAGAACUAGGGGAGAAAAGGGAGAGGGAAGUGAAUCAGUAAUGAGCCUGAAAGGCAGGAGAGAAUUUCAAUGCACUGACCCCAAAAGUUAGGAGUCCAGCAGUCCUAGUGCUAGUGGCCUCAAGUUGUAUCAGAGAGCACACUGGUCAUCCUGGGUCAUGGGCCUGGGGCCUGGGACACACUCCAGCCUCAGAGGGUGAGAAGCCAUGGGGAAGGUAAAGAUGGGGAAAGAGACUGACUGGGGUGAGGCUCAGGUCAAAGGUGACCCUAUUCAUGGGUGAUGGGGAUGUAGGAGCAGAGAAGACUGGGAGAAUAAAAAUGCCCCGGAGAAAAAUAGACAAUGGGGCUAAAGCUUAGAGCUGGAGACAGAGAAAAAAAAAAUAAAAAUGGCUUUGUUUUUCUUUCUUUCCUACCUACAGAAAACCUGUUUUUGUAUUUAUUUGCAUCUUCUUAAGGAUCAGCACUUAUGUUACAAGGCAUACCUCCAACCCGGAAAAGAACCACAAGUUACAGUGAAUAACAAUUAGUGCUUUUCUGACGCCUUCUGUUUGUUGUUGUUUGUUUGUUUUAAUUUGUUAUACAUGAUAGUACAAUGACCUUGACAUAUCAUACAUUUGAAUCUGAUGGGAUAUAAUUUCUCAUUUUUCUGAGUGUACAGGUUGCAGAAUCAUAUUGGUCAUGCAGUCACAUAUAUACACACAGUAAUAAUUAAUGUCUGUUUCAUUCUUCUAUCCUUCCUAUCCCUCACCCCUCCCCUCCCCUCCCAUCACUUUUCUCUACCUAAUCUAUGGUAAUGCUCUUCUUUUUUUUUUCCUCAUAUCUUCAUACAUGUAUUUUGUAUAAUGAUGAGUGUCUCCUUCCAUCAUCCAUGAAUUUUCCCUUCUCCCUCCCACCCCUCUUCCCUAUGUAGAGGUAAUCUUCUUCCCAUGCUCUUCCUCCCUAUCCCAUUUUGAGUCACCCCCUUAUGUCAGAGAAGACAUUCAGUAUUUGUUUUUUGGGGAUUGGCUAACUUCACUUAGCAUAAUCUGCUCUAAUGCCAUCCGUUUCCCUGCAAAAGCCAUGAUCUUAUUAUUUUUUAGUGCUGAGUAAUAUUCCAUUGUGUAUAUAUGCCAUGUUUUUUUUAAUCCAUUGAAGGGCAGAGGAAGUACGUUCUCAACUAGUCUUUCUCUUGAAAUCCAAAAAUUAGUAUUUGGAAAAUCAUGCCUGUUUAUACAAUAAGCAUUCUGAAGUGCCUACUGUGUGCCAGAACAGCAGACCCCGUCCCAUAAAUCAGAGUUAACAGGUUGUUGUUUUCUCCAGGUCCUAAGGAAUCCAGAAAACAGAGCAAGCUUCUGUAUUUGUAAUAAUGGAAUUGCAGUAAUAUGUUACUUAUUUUAAAACAGUGAUAAAAACUCAUUGCCUGGAAGUAGCCUUUGUUCGCAGCACUUCAGUAUGCAUUACAGAGCUCCGUGGUGCUUUAAGCAUGGGUUACAAAGUUGCAAAAGAAUACUUGGUGGCAAACUGUCAAGCAAGACCUUAUUUUACAUUUAAUGCCUUGUAGGAAGAAGAGGACACAAGAGGAAUCUUUGGAGAAGACAGGAGAGUUCAGUUGUUGUGAAAAGCAAGGAAUCCAUGCCUUCCAUUGCUGGGGAUCUCCAAGUCACUUGCUGGUUUUGCUGAGCCAGGUCUGGGUGCCAUCCUUAAAUGGAAGAGAAUAUUUACAAAAGAAAAUACAUUCUUCAGGUGGGUAUUUUGUAAUGUACUCCUGAGAGCUGUCGUAGAGAUAAGUUUCAUAAUGGGUCCUUUUAGCAUGAGCUCUGAACCUUCCAUCUGACCCUUCGAAUUGAAUCAUUAAUCUGUGGUCCAGACUCAAACCUCCUGUGUUUCUUAUAACUAAUAAUC
rnacentral:lncRNA from 1 species